GUCAAGUAAGAAUACCCGCUGAACUUAAGCAUAUCAAUAAGCGGAGGAAAAGAAACUAACUAGGAUUCCCUUAGUAACGGCGAGUGAACUGGGAAGAGCUCAAAUUUUAAAUCACUUUGGUGAAUUGUAAUUUGAAGAAAGUGUUUUGACUUUUCAGUUUAAUCUAAAUCCUUUGGGAUGAGGUAUCAUAGAGGGUGAGAAUCCCGUUUGUGAUUAAACCUCGGAUUGCACUAAUUCACUUUCUAAGAGUCGAGUUGUUUGGGAUUGCAGCUCUAAAUGGGUGGUAAAUUUCACCUAAGGCUAAAUAUAUGCAAGAGACCGAUAGCGAACAAGUACCGUGAGGGAAAGAUGAAAAGAACUUUGAAAAGAGAGUUAAACAGUACGUGAAAUUGUUGAAAGGGAAACGAUUGAAGUCAGUCAUGCUAGUGAGGAAUCAACUUGGUGGUUUACUUCCUUGUGUAUUUUCUUACUUGGCAGGUUAGCAUCAAUUUUGGUUGUCAUCAAAUAAUUGGGGGAAUGUGGCUUUUCUUCGGGAAAGUGUUAUAGACCUUGAUAGAUGUGGCGACUGAGAUUGAGGUUUGCAGCGAAUGCCUUGGGUUAGUCAUCUGUCUUCUGACCGUCACCUCGCUUUUGACAGCUUGCUGAUGAUUGCGGGAUUUGGUGGCCUAGAAGUUAGAAUGUACAUAAAUUCGCUAAGGAUGCUGACGUAAUGGCUUUAAACGACCCGUCUUGAAACACGGACCAAGGAGUCUAACAUAUGUGCGAGUGUU
rnacentral:rRNA from 1 species